rnacentral:rRNA from 1 species
UAAGACGAACCGUGCGAACGUUGUUCGGAAUCACUGGGCUUAAAGGGCGCGUAGGCGGUCGGGCAAGUCCGGGGUGAAAUCCUGCAGCUUAACUGUAGAAGUGCCUUGGAUACUGCCCGGCUCGAGGGAGGUAGGGGUCUGUGGAACUUCUGGUGGAGCGGUGAAAUGCGUUGAUAUCAGAAGGAACGCCGGUGGCGAAAGCGACAGACUGGACCUCUUCUAACGCUGAGGCGCGAAAGCUAGGGGAGCAAACGG